rnacentral:ribozyme from 1 species
AAUUAAAAAAAAAAAAAAAAAAAAAAAGGAAAGGAAAGGAGAGGGAAAGGAAAGUAAUCGUUACUAUGUGCUUG